rnacentral:rRNA from 1 species
UACGAAGGGGGCUAGCGUUGCUCGGAUUGACUGGGCGUAAAGGGCGCGUAGGCGGUUCGUACAGUCAGACGUGAAAUUCCUGGGCUCAACCUGGGGGCUGCGUUUGAUACGUGCGGACUUGAGUGCGGAAGAGGGUCGUGGAAUUCCCGAGUGUAGAGGUGAAAUUCGUAGAUAUUGGGAAGAACACCGGUGGCGAAGGCGGCGACCUGGUCCGAUACUGACGCUG